CCUACGGGCGGCAGCAGUGAGGAAUAUUGGUCAAUGGCCGGAAGGCUGAACCAGCCAAGCCGCGUGAGGGAGGAAGGCGCAGAGCGUUGCAGACCUCUUUUGUCGGGGGAUAAAAGGCCGGACUUGUUCGGUUCUGAGGGUACCCGGUGAAAAAGCAUCGGCUAACUCCGUGCCAGCAGCCGCGGUAAUACGGAGGAUGCGAGCGUUAUCCGGAUUCAUUGGGUUUAAAGGGUGCGCAGGCGGGCCUUUAAGCCGGCGGUGAAAUCGCGGGGCUCAACCCCGCCGAGCCGUCGGAACUGGGGGCCUUGGGUGCGGCGGGGGCAUGCGGAAUGGGCGGUGUAGCGGUGAAAUGCAUAGA
rnacentral:rRNA from 1 species